rnacentral:rRNA from 1 species
CCCUUAGAUGUUCUGGGCCGCACGCGUGCUACACUGAGUGGAUCAGCGGGUCAGGUUGCGCGAAAGUGUUUCCUAAUCUUUAAAUCCGCUCGUGAUGGGGAUUGACGGUUGCAAUUUUCCGUCAUGAACGAGGAAUACCUUGUAAGCGCGGGUCAUCAUCCCGCGCUGAAUACGUCCCUGCCCUUUGUACACACCGCCCGUCGCUCCUACCGAUUGAGUGGUCCGGUGAGGCUUUGGGAUCUGGGCGGAAAGAGCGUUUCGCUGUUUCUGCCCGGAAAACUCAGUCGAACCUUAUCAUUUAGGGGAAGGAGAAGUCGUAACA